GACGAACGCUGGCGGCGUGCUUAACACAUGCAAGUCGAACGAUGAAGCCGGAGCUUGCUCUGGUGAAUUAGUGGCGAACGGGUGAGUAACACGUGAGUAACCUGCCCUUGACUCUGGGAUAACUGCGGGAAACUGUAGCUAAUACCGGAUACGACCCUCGGAGGCAUCUCCUGGGGGUGGAAAGAAUUUCGGUCAAGGAUGGACUCGCGGCCUAUCAGCUAGUUGGUGAGGCAAAGGCUCACCAAGGCGACGACGGGUAGCUGGUCUGAGAGGACGAUCAGGCACACUGGGACUGAGACACGGCCCAGACUCCUACGGGAGGCAGCAGUGGGGAAUAUUGCACAAUGGGCGCAAGCCUGAUGCAGCAACGCCGCGUGAGGGAUGACGGCCUUCGGGUUGUAAACCUCUUUCAGCACAGACGAAGCGCAAGUGACGGUAUGUGCAGAAGAAGGACCGGCCAACUACGUGCCAGCCGCCGCGGUAA
rnacentral:rRNA from 1 species